rnacentral:misc_RNA from 1 species
UUGCUGGAUCCUCCGGUAGUGCUG